AAACUAUUAGACGGAUAGCUUGGCUUAAAUUUUGAUGAAGGACGUGGCAAGCUGCGAUAUGCUCGGGCGAGGUGCAUGCAACCUUUGACCCCGAGAUCUCCGAAUGUGAAACACAUUAAUGCCGAGAGGCAGAGCUACGCCGGGAAUUGAAACAUCUUAGUACCGGCAGGAAAAGAAAAUAAUAAUGAUUUCCUUACUAGCAGCGAGCGAAAAGGAAACAGGGCAAACCGAAUCUGCUUUAGAAAUGAAGUUAGAGAUGUGGUGAGAUAUAAUGACUAAGUCGUUGAGCUGAAGUUCUCUGGAAAGAGACGCUUUAGAGGGUGAUAGCCCCGUAAGCAAAAGCGAUAUGUCAGUUCUUAAAAGAGUAGGGCGACUUGGAUUAGUCGUCUGAAUAUGGCAGAAUUAACUGCUAACCCUAAAUAGUAAUUUAAGUCCGAUAGCGAACGAGUACCGCGAGGGAAAGCUGAAAAGUACUCUCACAAGAGAGUUAAAAGACUUGAAAUCUAAUAGUUACAAAAUAGCUACGGCUCUACGGAGUUGUAGCGUGCGUUUUGAAGAACGAGCCAGGGAGUUUAUUUUUGUGGCAAGGUUAAUUAAGGAAGCCGAAGCGAAAGCAAGUACGAAAUUGCGUUAGUCACAAGGGUAAGACCUGAAGCCAGAUGAUCUAUUCCUGAGCAGGAUGAAGUUUUUUGAAAGAGAAAUGGAGGUCCGAACCGGUGUUACGUGCAUGUACUCGGAUGACUUGGGAAUAGGGGUGAAAAGCCAUUCUAAUCUGGCGAUAGCUGGUUCCUGCUGAAAUAUGCCUUGGUAUAGUUGAGUACAGUUCGUUUAUGGGGUAUAGUACAGAUAAGUUUCGCAGAACCUUAUGGUUACGGAAACUUUUCUAACUCAGAACCUAUAAACUGCGUAAUACUCGAAACAGCGACGGUAUGUAAGAUACCGUUACGAAACCGGAACAACGGAGCCCGAAGUUAAGGUCCCAAAAUGUUUGCUAAGUGUAACGAAGGGAGUCUUCAUUCUGAGACAGUGGGGAUGUAGGUCUAGAAGCCGCCAUCAUUUAAAGAAAGCGUAACAGCUCACCCAUUGAGAAUGGAGGCCCCGAAAAUGGACGGGGCUAAAGCAAACUACCGAUACUUCGGAUACAUCCAGUUGGAUGUUAUGGUAAGCAGGCGUAUUAGUUGCGUAGAAGUCUCAACGUAAGUUGGGUUGGAGCGACUAGUAAUGCGAAUCCUGGUGUUAGUAGGAUCUGAUCUUUCUGAGAACCGAAAGACGUCGAAAGAGUACGGUUUCCUUGGCACUAUCAAUUAGCCAAGGGUUAGUCUGCACCUAAGUCACACCUUAACUGAAUGUGACGACGGAUAACAGGUUAAUAUUCCUGUACUUAUUGUUUUUGCUAAGUUCUUGAAUCGCUUUCGGAUAAGUGGAGUGCCGAGAGGUACAACGAAGGAGAAAUUUAUGGAUUGUAAUGAAGAGAAGUUUAUGAAUCCUCGUGAAUCCGCUGAGUCCAAGAGUCAGUGAAAAGUUCAAGAAAUAGAAAGCAGUGAGCAGUACCAAGAACUGGCACUGGUACUCUAGCUGAGAAGGCUAAGACGUGAAGGGUUAAUCAAGUUAAGGGAAUUCGGCAUAAAUAGUCCCGUAUCUUCGGUAGAAGGGAUGUCUAUUCUUUUGUAUGAUUCAUUGUAUGGGGGAGUAGAUCUCAGUAACAAGGAUGGCACGACUGUUUACCAAAAACGUAGCUAAGCGCAAUUCCGAAAGGACGAGUAUGCUUGGUGAAGUCUGCCCAGUGGUGGUGUCCAAACACCGGUUUCAACCGGUCGAAGGCCCAUCAAACGGCGGGCCUAACUAUGAGGCUCUUAAGGUAGCGUAAUGCCUUGUCGUCUGAAUGGCGACGUGCAUGAACGGCUUAACGAUGUUGUCACUGUCCCUAACUUGCACCCUCCGAAAUCAUUUACCGGUGAAAAGGCCGGUGUCGUCUAGUGGGAAGCGAAGACCUUGUAGACCUUUACUGCAACCUGUUGUUGUGAACUUAUUAUGAUUGCCCAGAGUAGGUAGGAGCGUUGAAACCUGAAUUCCGGUUCAGGUGGAGCAAAAGUGUAACACUACCCAAUUUUAAUAGGUCCACUAACCUUACUGGGACAGCAAUUGGCGGGCAGUUUGGCUGGGGCGGCACCCCGCAGAAAAGAUAUCUGUGGGGCCCAAAGACAAACUCAUCCAGUUCGGAAAUCUGGAGUAGAGUGUAAAGGCAAAAGUUUGUCUGACUGUAUUUUGAAAAGCAAGGAAUGCAGGAAUGAAAGUUGGGCUUAACGAACCAUCGAUGAUUUUUAAUGGAUCACGAUGAUGUCAGAAAAGGUACCUCAAGGAUAACAGGCUUGUCGCCCCCGAUAGUUCACAUUGACGGGGCGGUUUGGUACAUCGCUGUCGGCUCUUCCUAUCCUGGAUGUGCACAAGCAUCCAAGGGUGUCGGAGUUCACGCAUUAAAAGGGAUCGUUAGCUGGGUUAAGAACGUCGUGAGACAGUUUGUAUGAUAUCUACUAGAUGUGUCGUUGUUUGAGUGGAAGGACCCUCCAGUACGAGAGGAACGUGGGUUCGGAGCCUCUGGUCUACCAGUUGUUAUGAGCAGGCUGGGCAGCUACGCUCUAUCCGAUAAGUGCUGAAAGCAUCUAAGCACGAAGCGGACCGCAAAACGAAACAACAUAAGCCGCAGUAAAAGACUGCGUUGAUAGAGACGGAAUGUAAGCAUUGAGCUUUCGCGAUUUGUUCAGUUCGCGUCUACUAAAAGCUACAAAUAUUUAUC
rnacentral:rRNA from 1 species